GGGUGCGAUCAUACCAGCACUAAUAUGCUGGAUCCCAUCAGAACUCCGCAGUUAAGCGUGCUUGGGCGAGAGUAGUACUAAGAUGGGUGACCUCUUGGGAAGUCCUCAUAUUGCACCCC
rfam:Citrus clementina cultivar Clemenules unplaced genomic scaffold scaffold_6, whole genome shotgun sequence.